rnacentral:rRNA from 2 species
UGGGGGAUAUUGCACAAUGGGGGAAACCCUGAUGCAGCAACGCCGCGUGAGGGAAGAAGGUUUUCGGAUUGUAAACCUCUGUCCUAGGUGAAGAUAAUGACGGUAGCCUAGGAGGAAGCUCCGGCUAACUACGUGCCAGCAGCCGCGGUAAUACGUAGGGAGCGAGCGUUGUCCGGAAUUACUGGGUGUAAAGGGUGCGUAGGCGGCAAGAAAAGUCAGAUGUGAAAUACCGGGGCUUAACCCCGGAGCUGCAUUUGAAACUUUCCUGCUUGAGUGAAGUAGAGGCAAGCGGAAUUCCCUGUGUAGCGGUGAAAUGCGUAGAGAUAGGGAGGAACACCAGUGGCGAAGGCGGCUUUCUGGACUGUAACUGACGCUGAGGCACGAAAGCGUGGGGAGCGAACAGG